rnacentral:siRNA from 1 species
GUUAUUGCCUCAAACUUCCUUGGC